rnacentral:rRNA from 1 species
AGGACGAACGCUGGCGGCGUGCCUAACACAUGCAAGUCGAGCGGAAAGGCCCCUUCGGGGGUACUCGAGCGGCGAACGGGUGAGUAACACGUGGGUAAUCUACCCCUGACAUCGGGAUACUCCGGGGAAACCCGGCCUAAUACCGAAUAAGGUGCGGAGACAUCGGUCGCCGUACCAAAGGUAGCUUCGGCCUCCGGUCAGGGAUGAGCCCGCGGCCCAUUAGCUUGUUGGUGAGGUAACGGCUCACCAAGGCAACGAUGGGUAGCUGGUCUGAGAGGACGAUCAGCCACACUGGGACUGAGACACGGCCCAGACUCCUACGGGAGGCAGCAGUGGGGAAUAUUGCGCAAUGGGCGAAAGCCUGACGCAGCGACGCCGCGUGAGGGACGAAGGCCUUCGGGUUGUAAACCUCUUUCAGCAGGGACGAAGCGAGAGUGACGGUACCUGCAGAAGAGCACCGGCCAACUACGUGCCAGCAGCCGC